CCUACGGGAGGCAGCAGUGGGGAAUAUUGGGCAAUGGGCGCAAGCCUGACCCAGCAACGCCGCGUGAAGGAAGAAGGCUUUCGGGUUGUAAACUUCUUUUCUGAGGGACGAAGAAAGUGACGGUACCUCAGGAAUAAGCCACGGCUAACUACGUGCCAGCAGCCGCGGUAAUACGUAGGUGGCAAGCGUUAUCCGGAUUUAUUGGGUGUAAAGGGCGUGUAGGCGGGAAAGCAAGUCAGAUGUGAAAACUCAGGGCUCAACCCUGAGCCUGCAUUGGAAACUGUUUUUCUUGAGUGCUGGAGAGGCAAUCGGAAUUCCGUGUGGAGCGGUGAAAUGCGUAGAUAUAAGGAGGAACAACAGUGGCGAAGGCGAAUUGCUGGACAGUAACUGACGCUGAGGCGCGAAAGCGUGGGGAGCAAACAGGAUUAGAGACCCGUGUAGUC
rnacentral:rRNA from 1 species